rnacentral:rRNA from 1 species
AACGAACGCUGGCGGCAUGCCUAACACAUGCAAGUCGAACGAAACCUCCGGGUCUAGUGGCGCACGGGUGCGUAACGCGUGGGAACCUGCCCUUAGGUUCGGAAUAACUCCCCGAAAGGGGUGCUAAUACCGGAUAAUGUCUUCGGACCAAAGAUUUAUCGCCUUUGGAUGGGCGCGCGUUUGAUUAGCUAGUUGGUAGGGUAACAGCCUACCAAGGCGACGAGCCAUAGCUGGUCUGAGAGGAUGAUCAGCCACACUUGGACUGAGACACGGCCCAGACUCGUACGGGAGGGAGCAGUGGGGUGUAUAGGAGGAGGGACGAAAGUCUGAUCCAGCCAUGCCGCGUGAGUGGUGAAGGCCUUAGGGAUGUAAAGCUCUUUUACCCGGGAUGAUAAUGACAGUACCGGGAGAAUAAGCUCCGGCUAACUCCGUG